UGCACUCCAGCCUGGGCAACAAGAGCUAAACUCCGUCUCAAAAAAAGAAAGAAAACUAGCAAUGGCAGCGUUUCUUCCCCAGCUCCAGCCGACAGAGAACACGGCGUCUGGCAGCCCGGAGAGGGGCCCCAAGGCGCUCGGAGCGCGCGGCACGCUAAGGCGGACGCACAGCGAGGGGACAGAUAAGGAAAUUGCGGCCCAAAUAUUUGAGGGAAUCUACCCGAAGCCACAUGGUGAUGUCCAGAGCAUAUGCAAGCUCCUCCGACCCCCAGCAUCACUGCAGACAGUGGUGUCAAGCACUCCCAUGCCGGAGGGAGGGACAGCACAUUAACAGACGUCAGUACCAACAACGGCCAGCAGUCUAGGCGUCCAGUCCAUUUAUCUGCAUCGCUCUAUUUCAUCCUCCCAACUCUUUUAAAACAGAUAUUUUUGUACCCAUUUUGCAGAUGGGGAAACUGGGGCUCAGAUUAAUCAGUUCCACUGCCAGAAGGCAAUGGAACCGUGUUUGAACUCAGCCUGAUAGCAAUCUCUGAGCCCAUUUCCUCACCUGUAAAGUAGGUAUAAUGACAGUGCUGUCUGGCCAGGCGCCGUGGGCUCA